UACGUAGGGGGCUAGCGUUGUCCGGAAUCAUUGGGCGUAAAGAGCGUGUAGGCGGCUCAGUAAGUCCGCUGUGAAAGUCCAGGGCUCAACCCUGGAAUGCCAGUGGAAACUGUUGAGCUAGAGUCCGGAAGAGGCGAGUGGAAUUCCUGGUGUAGCGGUGAAAUGCGCAGAUAUCAGGAGGAACACCAAUGGCGAAGGCAGCUCGCUGGGACGGUACUGACGCUGGAGACGCGAAAGCGUGGGGGGCAAACAGG
rnacentral:rRNA from 1 species